GGAGUCGCGGUCCCGCUCGCGCUCCACCAAUACGGCCGUGUCCCGGCGCGAGCGGGACCGGG
ensembl:miRNA